rnacentral:rRNA from 1 species
UGGGGAAUAUUGCACAAUGGGCGCAAGCCUGAUGCAACAACGCCGCGUGAACGAUGAAGGUCUUCGGAUCGUAAAGUUCUGUUGCAGGGGAAGAUAAUGACGGUACCCUGUGAGGAAGCCCCGGCUAACUACGUGCCAGCAGCCGCGGUAAUACGUAGGGGGCUAGCGUUAUCCGGAUUUACUGGGCGUAAAGGGUGCGUAGGUGGUCUUUCAAGUCGGUGGUUAAAGGCUACGGCUCAACCGUAGUUAGCCUCCGAAACUGGAAGACUUGAGUGCAGGAGAGGAAAGUGGAAUUCCCAGUGUAGCGGUGAAAUGCGUAGAUAUUGGGAGGAACACCAGUAGCGAAGGCGGCUUUCUGGACUGCAACUGACACUGAGGCACGAAAGCGUGGGUAGCAAACAGG